CGGACCGUCUGACUGCCCCACUGUCCGUAGGUUCGUCGGCUUCGCAGUCGGUCUGUCCGACUUCUUUCUCUGGCUAGCCGGCAGGCUCUUGCGUCUCAACGCUUUUGCUCGAAAGGUGCCGCCACCGCCGGGUUCCCCAGUGAGUGAGAAAGACACGACUGGAGAAGCCGCCGCCGCGUCCCCGCCUCCCGGAGUCGGGAGGGAGGGGACGCGGGCCCAGGGAAGGCGGGACGUGGAGCGGGAGGGGGCGGGGCGCGGUGCACCCUGGGAUCGGGGCGGACCCGCGCUCUCCUGGAUGGGACCCGCGGGGUCCCCUCGAGGGCGUCUUCCCCACCCGCGCCUCUCACGCACGAGGGCUGUUCUGUGGGUCCCUUGCUAGGCAGACGGCCCCACUGUUGCGGCCUCUCGGAUCCCUGCCUCCAAGAUGGAAGUGGAGAGAAGGAAAAGACGCCCACUGCCCCUUCUCUGCCCUGGGCCCCCUUAACUGAGGCAACUCCAGACACCCGUUUUUCCUGCCUCUGGUCUCCUUGACUUCGGAGAACCCUGACAAGAAACCUCAUCCAUAUCCUUGGGUUUAGAUUGAGUGCGGGGCUGGGGGUGUUAAUUAAAAUUCGUGUUGGUUAGGGUUCAGUCCUGGUGCUUCGACCUUAGGAUUCUUGGGAAUCAUUGAAAUGUGUAGAUUGAACGUCAAAUGUGAAUACAACCUGCCUCCGAUUCUCUUUUUAAUAAAGUAUUAUGAUUAUACUGUGGCCCAGCUGUCACCAGCAGAAGAUGAGAAAUCAAGCUUCCCUGAUUUCUAGGAUGGGAACCUGUGGGUGAGGGUUACGUGUGUUGAGCCAGGUGUCUUCCCUGGAAGUGCAAACAACCUAUUCAGAACUUCAAAUAUCAUCUAUUUCAGAAUAUACAAACCUUGAAGACAGGUUGUGUCAGCAUUUGAAACUCCUCGGGGACAUGGCCUGCACAGAAGUUUCCAGAAAUAUUUCCACUAAAUAAGAAGUUGCACCUACACAGAUCAUUAAACACAAGAUAGGAAGUUGAAUCAUUGCAUUAGUUUUGACUGCCAUCUAAUGAGGGCCCAAUGUAAUCACAAGUACCCUUGUAAGAGGGAAGCAAUAGAGUCAGAAGAAAGUGAAGUGACAAUGGAGCACAAAGAGGGAUUAGAAGAUUCUAUACUGCUUGCUUUAAAGACUGAGGAUGAGACAUGAGCUAAAGAAUUCGGGUACCCUUUGGAAGCUGGAAGUUCUAUCAGUUUUUCCUGUACAUCUGAAGCUCAGUUAUCAGAUACAUAAGCCUUUGGAAUGGUGAAGUCCUCGAACAACUGACCCCUUUAUUUUAUUAAGUGACUCUUUAAUUUUGGCAAUAUUCUUUGCUCAGAAAUAAACUUUGUCUGAA